GUUCAGUUGAACCCUUUGGAAGGAAGUAAUCAGCAUAUAAGAAUAAGAGCCUUGCAGUGGUGAGAAUCCACCUUGAGGAGGUUCUGAAAUCCUGGAGGCUCGAGAAGUUUCCAGGCAAAAUGAGAUCAGGAAAACAAAGCCAUUUGAACAAAGCGAAGCAACAGUGCUUAUUAUACUUCAUUCUCUGUAUGCUGUUUCCCUCUUAAGAAGGACUUUAGCUCCAAGUCAUCCUCAGGAAGAAGUAAAAAAAAAAAAAAAAAUUCAAAGUUCCAUCAGGGUUUGGGGCCUAUUAUCCACCUUUGUGAAGGAAGGCUGGCAUCACGCUCCUCCCACUCUGCCUCCUUAUCACAAAGUUAUUCACAUGGUUCCCUGGCCCCUGCCAAGAUCAGGCUGUCCACUGCUGUGGCCUGUCAGAGUCCAGCUUUUUCCUCAGUGGCCAGAUAUCUCAGCCACAGUUAGCCACCAGGGGGCCGCCUAUUUGGAACAAGCGGUGAAGCCUCCACAGCUUUCCUCCAAACCAACCAAAACAUCCCGGGGCAGCUUUGGAGCAAAGCCCAGGAACUUCCCUGCAAGGGAGAGCAACUUCUCUCCAGCUACAAAACCUGCAAGUCCUAUAUAGUAUAGCCUCCCUACGAGUGAAAAAUAAAGCACGGAUUCAUGCCGAGAAGCCAUGGGAUUUUAAGGUCGGUGGAGUCUGAGCGGGAGGCCCCUCCCUCUGGCCCGGGAACCCUGGGGUCUGCGACUACUUCUUGAAGCACCUGAAACACUCUGUAUCCAGGCGCAGGCGUCAGUUUCCGAAUUCCUGAAAGUUGUGGUUGUUAAUGCUGUCAGCCGGGACGGUGGCUCCUCGCCCCUUUCCGUGGGAUGCUCCCAAGAAACUGGAAUAAAUCACACGUCACCGGCUGGAAAUUUGGAAAACGCUCCAAUAAAUCAUCUAUACAUUGCUCAGACGGUUGAGUAUCCAAAUCGUCACAGCUCUGUCACAUUGCUGUGCCAAAAAAUGUGGAUAUUGAACGAUGAAGUCGACAUUGUUUUAAUCGCAUCUAUAAGAGAAUAACUGUACUCUGUCGUCAAAUAGUUUUGUUGCAAUUACAGCUUCGUACCGACUGCAUUUUAGCUCUCUGGGUACUCAGUAUUUUUACAAGCAUUCUUCUAGCGCAGAAUGCAGCUGCCUGCUUCAUUUUCUCUCAACCUGAACCCUUGGCUUUCAAGACGUGGGGUGGGGGUGCGGGUGGGGGCGGGGGCGGGGGCGGGGUGGGCAUCUUAGAGAUUCAUAUCGGCCCGGGGCAGAACUCCUCAAGAGCUUAAAUUAUAUUCGUCUUCCGGGUUUUAUUUGUACACGUCCAGGGCAAAGACAAAUUAAUAGGGCAGCCCUUCUGGAACCUGUGGAGUGUCUCAA
rnacentral:lncRNA from 1 species